rnacentral:rRNA from 1 species
GACGAGGGGUCCUAGCGUUGUUCGGAAUCACUGGGCGUAAAGCGUUUGUAGGCGGCUCUAUAAGUCGGAUGUGAAAUCCCAUGGCUCAACCAUGGAAGUGCAUUCGAAACUGCAGAGCUUGAAUAUGGAAGAGGAGAGUAGAAUUCCUGGUGUAGUGGUGAAAUACGUAGAUAUCAGGAGGAAUACCGGAGGCGAAGGCGGCUCUCUGGUCCAAUAUUGACGCUGAGAAACGAAAGUGCGGGGAU